CCUUCCUGCCACCAUGUGAAAAAGGACAUGUUUGCUUCUCCUUCUGCCAUGAUUCUUCUGGGAGCCUUCUGCAUUCCGUGGUUUGGGUCCCUUUCCUCCAUCUUCAAAACCAGUCUAACAGCAUUUUCAUAUCUCUAUGAUACUAAUUUCCUCUUUUUUGAGGCAUAAACAUAUUUUCAUUGAAAAUCGUGAAGAAUUGAGAAGGAAAGGAGUCUGAAAUUUUAAAUGGUGAGAUUCUACAAGUCAUCAGGUUCUUUCUUGCUGGCUAAGCCCUAACCUCUGGAAUUCAUAAUCGGAGGACCUCAUAAGGAUUAUGGAAACAGAAUUUCAUGGUAAAAUAAGUGGAAGUGCUAAAUUCUCAAGGAAACAUUAACCUUUAACAGUGGUUGCUUCUAAAGUUCCAAACAUAAGGUUAUAAUUCUGAGAGGAAUAGAAGGAAGAAAAACUUUUGUCCCUAAAUUUUCCACUUUUCUCCUCGUUCUCUUGUCCACACCAUAUGGCUAGACAUGACCACUUUGAAAUGAAGGUGAUGUUGUCUUUCUUGGAUUCCAUUUCCCACAUGUUGAACUCAUUUGGUGCAACUAAAUGCUGCAUGCAGAGACUUAAUGAAUACUUUGGAUGAUUAUGAUGACAAGGCACUAACAUGGCAGACUGAAUUUUCCCUCAUGGGAGAAGAAUCAGAUACUGUAUAAU
rnacentral:lncRNA from 10 species